AGAGCGAACGCUGGCGGCAGGCCUAAUACAUGCAAGUCGAACGGAUCCUUCGGGAUUAGUGGCGGACGGGUGAGUAACACGUGGGAACGUACCCUUUGGUUCGGAACAACUCAGGGAAACUUGAGCUAAUACCGAAUGUGCCCUUCGGGGAAAAGAUUUAUCGCCAUUGGAGCGGCCCGCGUCUGAUUAGCUAGUUGGUAGGGUAAAGGCCUACCAAGGCUACGAUCAGUAGCUGGUCUGAGAGGAUGAUCAGCCACAUUGGGACUGAGACACGGCCCAGACUCCUACGGGAGGCAGCAGUGGGGAAUAUUGCGCAAUGGGCGAAAGCCUGACGCAGCGACGCCGCGUGUGGGAUGACGGCCUUCGGGUUGUAACCACUGUCGCGAGGGACGAAAAAAAUGACGGUACCUCGAAAGGAAGCACCGGCUAACUCUGCGCCAGCAGCCGC
rnacentral:rRNA from 1 species